CCACUAUCCCUGCAGCAUAACCUGUCCUGUCCUGUCUGUUACAGGGAGCCCCGGCUGCUGUGAGCCUGGUGACCAAGAGCCGUCCUUCUGUUAAACCUGGGUUUGCAGACUCUAAGCCCUCCGCUCUUUCAUGGACACACUACAGAAGAAAGACAGGUGUUUUUGGAUUGACUGCUUAGUUCUAGAGUUUGGUGCUGAGUGGCAGGCAGAGUGGGGAACAAGGCUCAGCUCCUGCCCACAAGGAACUCACCGUGCACAACAAAUACACCAUCCAACCAGCUGUUCCUCCCACCUGGUGCUGGAUAGCAGUUGCAAGUUUACAGCUUU
rnacentral:lncRNA from 1 species